rnacentral:rRNA from 1 species
GACGAACGCUGGCGGCGUGCUUAACACAUGCAAGUCGAACGGAAAGUUCCGGGUGUUGUGGGGUGCUCGAGUGGCGAACGGGUGGGAAACACGUGAGUAACCGGCCCCUGUCUGGGGGACAACAGCAGGUAACUGCUGCGAAUACCGGGUAGAAGCUUCUGCUCCGUAGGGUGGGUUGGAGAGUGUAGGCGGUGGUGGAUGGACUCGGGGCUUAUCAGCCUGUUUGUUGGGUAGUGGCUGACCAGGGCUUUGACGGGAAGCCGACCUGGGCGGGUGACCGGCCACGUUACGACUGAGAUACGGCCCAGACGCGUAUGGUACGCAGCAGUGGGGAAUAUUGCACAAUAGGCGGGAGCCUGAUGUAACAACGCCGCGUGCGGUAAGACGGCCUUCUGGUUGUGAACCACUUUCGCCUGAGCCGAAGCGUGAAUGACGGUACUGGGUAAAGAAGCCCCGGCUAACUACGUG